ensembl:lncRNA
GUAACAUCAGAGACACAAGCAAAGGCAAGCAUACAAACAGGAGACAGCACGAAAGCCAUGGUGAUAAGAGGACAAAAGAGACAUGUGGAAUGCAGGGCAGGCGACAGAAUAAAAGGCCUUCCUCACUGAAUUUAAGGUCGCACAGAGAGAAGGGGGUGGAGUGAAUGUGGGAGUGUGUGUGUGUUGUACAUCUGACACAUUUCCACCAUGUUGCACAUUACCAAGUCGCAUAGACAUGAGACAGGAUUUACCACUUUGAAACCAGGUUUGUCUUGUCUUGUCGGAUGUGGCUGGGACUGAAUUGUGAUCGACUGUCCCUUUUUAUAAAGUAAUAGUAAGGCUUUGGAUGAGGUGUGGCUUGAAGUGAAAGGAAUGCAGAUUGGCUAAUCAACAGAAGUCAGACACGUGUUUAGUCUAAUUAUACAGGUCAUAUGAAAAAAAGACUGAUUCUUUAAACUGUAAGGUUGGCAAUUUGGGCAGAUUUUCAUUAUAUUCUGUGCUUAAUUAUCUCCAAACAUUCUGGUGUUAUAAGUUAAACUAUGUUUUAGCUUUUAUACACAAGCUUAUGCCAGAUUAUGUUGAGGAAAACCACAUAAUAAUUUUAACAAGUUUGUACUGUUCCAGCCUCACAGCCUCUUUUCUGUACAGCAUUGAUGUGUUUCAUGUUUUAUAAGGAAGCUGAUGUGUUUUCACAAAUCAAAGAUGGGUUUCACAAUUAUUUUGCGCCAUCACAAAUAGUCAUGAUGUGAUGUUUCCUUAAGCAAUUCAAGUUUCCUCCAAUGUGACUAUCAGUGUGAAUAUCUGUACUAGCAAGUACUUUUAUCAAACACCAGGACUAGAGAAACUGAAGUCUAAGACUGGGGAGGCAAGAUUUUAGGAUAGAGAAUCUGUAUCCAUGUUAUCGAGGCAAGCAGCAACAUUCCCGAGAUCUAAUGCAACUACCACAAUGUUGUGCUGGAAAAAAAACACAGUUUUAAUCUGUGUUUUCGCUGAUAAUCGAUUCAGUUGUAGAAACAUAUUGUCACUGGUGGAAACAUUCAAUCAGCUGAUAUAUAAAUGGGACAGUAAAGUUUAUUAGGUCGAUUGUAUUACAUUUUUUAUGUUAACCAAACUCAGCUCAUUUUAUAAUUUUUUGUUGGGGGCUGAUCAUUUUAUUUGCCAUGACUCUGGGUUCUUGUUUUUUUUGCAUACUUGAUUAGUCCGGUCAAUUGCGUCGUCGAAGAAUUGUGGAGACCUUUUUGCAUCCAUGUGAUCUGAUUUUCAUUGAGGGGAUUACACUGUGAACGGGUUUGUUACACCUUGAAUGUCGAGGCUGACGUCACGUCACAAUGCAUUCCCAGCAUAAGAGCGUUUGAAUCCUUUUGAGGGUUUACAUGGUUUUUAAUCACAUUGAUGAAACCCUCUAAUCGCUGUGUUUUCAACUUUCUUGAUGCAGCUUGUGAGAAGCCACCUCUGAAAGAUUGUGAAAUAGUUCAGAGUGAUUGUGCUACAGAGAGAAUAGUUAGGGACCUGGCAAUUUAACAAAUGUUUGAGUGGGACAGGUCCCAAAUCAGGAACAUAUUUUGAGUUGACAUGGUUGUCACUGCCUUUUCCACUCAUUUAAAUACUGUGCAUGCCUUUUGUUUCACCAAAGAGUGUUUUGUGUUUGUUUUUUCAGCUCAAUGUUUCUGCUCUAGUGAUUAUUUAGUACUAGGUCAAGAUUUAAAGAAUUAUCAGAGUUUUAUCCCGUUGCAAUUUGUCAUGAAAAUGGUUAACAACAGGAAGGGCCGACGCAUGUAAUUCAGUAUGUCCCAAAAAGGCCUAAUUUUGAAAAGGACAUUCUUUGAGCAUCUAACCAUCUAUAGCUAGAUAAUAUGGUGUUUUAAUAAGCAUUAAAAGCAACAGUCCAAUGCCAGGGAAUAACAACAUGACCAUACUAAGUGGCUGAUACGAUGAGUACAGUGGAUCUUAUGUUUAUGUAUGCAUUGCUUAUACUCAUGUAGCCAUAUGUUCACUAGAGUCGUGAUAAAGCAUUCCCUAAUCAGCAUCCAUAUUUAAAAAUGUGUCAUUUAGAUAUAAGAGGAAUGGUUUAAAGCAGAUGCAGCAAAAUAGCACAAAAUAGUUUGGCAGUAUUGUCAAGAUGAAACAAUAUUUUUAUUUAAAUCCUGAUAUUUAACUUUUUGCAUUUAAUUUUUUUUCAUCAUUUUAUUUCUAACUACAUAGCCACCCUGAGGGUUACAAGUGAAGUGAUAAACCUAUAUUCCUAAAGCCAACCAAUAUUGUCCGUGGUAGUCUAAAUUAAAACAGGCUCUUGACCAUAAAGCUUGUUAACGGCAUUCAUAGAAUGGAUUUGAUAGUUGUUGUUUUUGCCAAUUUGGAAUUAUUGUUCCAGGAAAUACAUUUUUAUUAUAUAUAGCACACUUAUUAAUUUGGGAGAUAUCAGUCAAAUCCACAUGCAACAGCAGUUUGCAUCUAUCAUUACCUUGAUUUAUUGUAUCUUUAUCCACUGUGCACCUUUCAGUGGAUAUGGAUAUAUGUUUCACUGUCUGGAUUUUUUUCCUCUGCCCCAUCUUUACUUGGAAAGAUAUUGAAUUUCUUACUCCAGUGUUGUUUUUGCCUCGUUAGAUGCCUAAUGUAAUUAACAAAAGGCAUGUUUCAAUAGGUGUCUCCGGUGCCUCAUGAAUAAUAGGAGGUGAGCUUUUUCUCUCUUGUUCUCGAUUGCGCCUCUUGUUCCUCAAGCAGGGGGAUGACAUCAAAACACACCAUAAGAUCAACUCCUUGAAAGACCUCCUUGAUGUUUGCAGCUGUUUAAAAAAAAAAAAAACACUAUUUUGCUUAUAAUAAUUUUCUGUACUUUACUGUUUUCACAUUGCUUUUGCCCAGGAAACAUGUUUUUGUUUGAAAUUGCUGGAGGUCUCUUUUUUGUUUGUUUUUGGUCUCACCUUUUUGAUACAUUUCCAGAACUUGCCUUACAGUGGACUGCAGCACUCUAAGGUGUUGGAAACACAUCCUAUAUCCUUCCCCACAGAUAGCCUGGAAGUCAGUAGCUGCAUAUUUGCAAGAUUGUUUUUUUUGUGUAUGUCUAAUUGCCUCUAUCAGGAACGUAGCUCUAUCCAUGAAGGACAUCUCUUUUAACCAGCCUAUUUUGCUGACUUGUCUUACAUGUUCCCCCAAGCCUCUACUCACUUGUUAUUGGUUUCAUACUUGCUGAAUACUUGACAAAUAGAUGAUCCAGGUGUUUUAGAUCCCCUAUCACUCCUGAGGUUUCUCUGUCCAUGUUCCGUGAUGCAGGUAAUAACAGCCAAGGUAAGGGCAGUUAUGAUACUUGGUCAGCUGAUUGUUUGAUUGUGUGUGUGUUUCGUAUCAAAAAAAAAAAAUCCGUACAUAAGAUGAAGCACCUUUGUUCCUUAUUUGAAAAACAGCAAAAAAGUUAAUUUAAUUCAGCACCAAAGUCGUAAUCCUUUGUUGGCUUAUCUUGACAGUUGCGUGUGUAUAUACUGUAAGGUACAAUCACUUAUUGAAGUGUGAUAGUGGUUAUUUUCUCAUCAAAAUAUUAUUGAGGUGAUCGUUUUUUUGUUUUGCCUUGUGGCCUUAUGGAAGGUUAUGAAUUAUGGAGGUGGCAAAGUAGAACAGAAAAGGUCUUGACUGACUGCCAGGUUUAUGCUGGCAGUCAAGAGGGUUUAGAUUUGCAAAGUAUGGAAUUAUUUACAUUUAUUGUAUAAUUUAAAUAUGAUUGUGGGUUUUAAUCUUGAUUUACAUAAUAAUUAAAGAUAAUUUUUGUAUUUCUUUUCUUUUUUUUUUUCCUCAGGAUCAGAUUUACUUUUUACCAUGUGGUUAUAAUGGUGUGAAAUUUUGCACUGCCUGGUUUAUAUUCAUCGCAUUUGUCUGUCAUUUGUUGUCAUUUUUGUUUUGAGUCCUUGUUGCCUUGAUUUUUAAUACAUUUGUGCUUUACCAAUAAUCUGCUUUGAGGUUCUUUCUAGUGUGAUUUUGACUACUUCAUUGCACGGUUGAUUUUUGUUUUUUGUUCUAGUUUGCAAAAAUGCUAACCUUACAUUAAUUCACCUAAGAUGAGAACCAAAUACUUGCUGCCAUAUAUGUAAAUCUUUCAUGAAUUAAUUUAGCCACUCUCCCAUUAUCCCUACUGAGGUACAUUCAGACAGCAAACACAGUCUUGUGCAGUCACACAGUCAUGAAUCACAGGCUAUGAAUGAAUUAGUGUGAAUGUGAGAGAGAGAUCAAGGCCAUUAAGUAAUACUACUCUCCUUAUUGAUUUCUUUCACCCCUGAGGAGGGCUUCACGCAGCAGAUGGACUAAUGGUAAUUUGAGAUGCCCCCUCUUUACUCAGUUGUGGCUCUACAAAUAACAUCUACAAAGUUAGAACUGCUGAUAAAUGCUGUCUCUUUUUAAUAAAUGUGC